AUUGAACGCUGGCGGAAUGCUUUACACAUGCAAGUCGAACGGCAGCACGGACUUCGGUCUGGUGGCGAGUGGCGAACGGGUGAGUAAUAUAUCGGAACGUAUCCAAUAAUGGGGGAUAACUAAUCGAAAGGUUGGCUAAUACCGCAUACGUCCUACGGGAGAAAGCUAGGGACCUUCGGGCCUGGCGUUAAUGGAGCGGCCGAUAUCAGAUUAGCUAGUUGGGGAGGUAAAGGCUCACCAAGGCGACGAUCUGUAGCGGGUCUGAGAGGAUGAUCCGCCACACUGGAACUGAGACACGGUCCAGACUCCUACGGGAGGCAGCAGUGGGGAAUUUUGGACAAUGGGGGCAACCCUGAUCCAGCCAUGCCGCGUGAGUGAAGAAGGCCUUCGGGUUGUAAAGCUCUUUCGGCCGGGAAGAAAUCGUAUCAGCUAAUACCUGGUGCGGAUGACUGUACCCACAGAAGAAGCCCCGGCUAACUCCGUGCCAGCCGCCGCCGUAACAC
rnacentral:rRNA from 1 species